GCGUUGGUGGUUUCGUGGUAGAAUUUUCGCCUGCCACGCAGAUGGCCCGGAGUUCACUUCUCUGCCGAAGCA
rnacentral:tRNA from 1 species